UACGGAGGGAGCUAGCGUUGUUCGGAAUUACUGGGCGUAAAGGGCUCGUAGGUGGCCAACUAAGUCAUACGUGAAAUCCCUCAGCUUAACUGGGGAACUGCGUCUGAUACUGGAUGGCUUGAGUUUGGGAGAGGGAUGCGGAAUUCCAGGUGUAGCGGUGAAAUGCGUAGAUAUCUGGAGGAACACCGGUGGCGAAGGCGGCAUCCUGGACCAAUACUGACACUGAGGAGCGAAAGCCAGGGGAGCAAACGGG
rnacentral:rRNA from 1 species